AUGGAGUUUGUGCUGGGCUGGGUGUUCCUGGUUGCUCUUUUAAAAGGUAAUUCAUGUGUCCACUGUGACGUGCUGGUGGUGGAGUCUGGGGGAGACCUGGUGAAACCUGGGGGGUCCCCCAGACUCACCUGUGUAGCCUCUGGAUUCACCUUCAGUGGCUACGACAUGAACUGGGUCCGCCAGGCUCCAGGAAAGGGGCUGCAAGACAACGCCAAGAACAUGCUGUAUUUGCAGAUGAACAAUCUGAGGGCCGAGGACACAGCCACGUAUUACUAUGCAAGAGACAUGGAGCAGGUGCACAUGGAGGUUACAGGCAGGUUUUCUGUCAGGGUCUGGGGCUUCCUCUCCACACAGCAGUUCCCCAGGGAGCCUCCCUGGAUAUAUGAUUCUCUGUUUAACUAUUAA